rnacentral:misc_RNA from 1 species
GGUUCUCUUGGUGUUCCUGCGGAGGGAUCAUUACCAGAGACGCCGUCAGGCUCUCCAACCCACUGUGAACAUACCUAGGUUCCACCGGCGGGGUCAGCGCGCGGCGGCCUCAGCGCCCCGCGCGUCCGCCGGGGGCCCCUAAACCCGAAUUUAUAGCGUGUCUUGUGAGGGGCGAAAGCCCGUAAAACAAAUGAAUCAAAACUUUCAACAACGGAUCUCUUGGCUCUGGCAUCGAUGAAGAACGCAGCGAAAUGCGAUAAGUAAUGUGAAUUGCAGAAUUCAGUGAAUCAUCGAAUCUUUGAACGCACAUUGCGCCCGCCAGUACUCUGGCGGGCAUGCCUGUCCGAGCGUCAUUUCAACCCUCGGGCCCCCGUUUCGGCGGCGGGCCCGGCGUUGGGGAUCAGGGGCCGCCCGGCGGACCCUGCCCCCUAAAUACAGUGGCGGUCGCGCCGCAGCCUCCCCUGCGUAGUAGCACACCUCGCACCGGAGAGCGGCUCGGCCACGCCGUGAAACCCCCCAAUUUUAAAGGUGACCUCGGA